AACGAACGCUGGCGGUGUGCCUCAUACAUGCAAGUCGUACGCGAAUCCUGCCGCAAGGCAGGGUUUGAGUGGCAAACGGGUGCGUAACACGUAGGUAAUCUUCCUUUGAGUUGGGGAUAAGCCCUCGGAAAGGGGGUCUAAUACCGAAUAACACUUCGGGCCGGCAUCGGCCUGAAAUUAAAGAUGGCCUCUGCUUGCAAGCUAUCGCUCGGAGAUGAGCCUGCGGCCGAUUAGUUAGUUGGCGGGAUAAAAGCCCCACCAAGACUUCGAUCGGUAGCCGGUCUGAGAGGAUGUCCGGCCACACUGGGACUGAGAUACGGCCCAGACUCCUACGGGAGGCAGCAGUAGGGAAUAUUGCGCAAUGGCCGCAAGGCUGACGCAGCAACACCGCGGUGGGGGAU
rnacentral:rRNA from 1 species